rnacentral:rRNA from 1 species
AACGUGGGUGGCAAGCGUUAUCCGGAAUUACUGGGCGUAAAGGGUGUGCAGGCGGGGUUGCAAGUGGUGUAUGAAAUAUCCCAGCUUAACUGGGAGGGGUUAUGCCAGACUGCAACUCUAGAGGACGAGAGAGGGGGGUGGAAUUCCGGGUGUAGUGGUGAAAUGCGUAGAGAUCCGGAGGAACCCCAGAGGCGAAGGCGGCCCCCUGGCUCGUACCUGACGCUCAGCCACGAAAGCAUGGGGAGCGAACGGG